GCUCGAAGAUCCAGGAUGUGUGGAGCCCAGAAAUCCAUGUGGUGGUGCAAGCCCCAAGUUCUGGUGGACCAGUCUACUCUGUGGCACCCAUUGGAAACCCCCAGAGGAGCCCAAACACGCAGCCUCCCGAGGUCCAGCGCGAGACGGAGGAGAAUGAGGAAGAGAGUUUCUAUGUGGUCACCAGGCCACCCCUUGGAGAGGCAACCACUUCCACUGAGCCCUUACAAGCAGGUACCCCCCUUCAUUCUAAUAACCCGCCUGUCUCUGAGCCCUCAGGAGGUUCUUCAAGUCAGCCCCCGCAUCAGCUCCCAGAAGGCCCUAGGAGGACAACCCGGGCCACAGCGGGUCAGCACCCGAACAGGCACCAUCUCCCUGUCACGGCAUCUCAUAGGUCAGGUGGGGCUGCUGCCUCCCGGGUCAGUGGUGCCAGUAGUAUGGUGAGUGCUUAUUUUAGGCCCUGGGACUAGCCAUGGCAUCACCGGGACGGUGAUGACAAACUGGGGACAGAUUGUAGCAGACAGCAGGGGGCCCCCUUCACCAAUAGUGCCACUUCCUGCCUUAUGGUGGAAGUGGCCUAAUUAAGUCUCCCCUGCACCUGGCGAUCAGUCUUGACUGCUGCUGGCUGGUGACAGGUGUGCUUUUAACUUCUCCCUCAUUUGAGCAUUUUUAAUCUGUUCUUAACUUGCCUUUCUGGUUUUAGAGCUUCUGUAGAACUCCGGUGGCAGCUAAUUUCCCCCGUUUUUAUUGCAACUUUAAGGUGGGACAAGCGUUUUAAUACUUUGUAUUUGUAUUUGGGUUUUAACGUUUGUUUCCAUUUUAAUUGCAGAUUUUAGCCUGCUACUGUUUUGUUUAGGGUUCAUUUUUAGGGUUUCUUUUUGGUUGAAUUGGAGUUUAUUUUUGUAUCAUUUGGUAUCUUUUUUUAGAAAUCCUUACCUCUGCACCAGUUAUGUUUAGCAGUCCCUGGGUCUUUUAGUCUUUUUUUCCCUUGGGUGUGCUUGGGAGGAGGAAUUGGCCCGUUUUCUGUUUUGCACUUGGGAUUUUUGUUAUUUAGUGUGUUUGUGAUUAGCAUUGUCUGUUUUGUUUGGGGUGGGGCUUCCUCCUCUCCAGCCAUUCUGGUUUGGUUCUUUUCUAAUAUUUAUCUGCCUUUUUUUCAGAUUUUGUUUGGUUCUGGCACAGGGGCUGCAAGGUUUUACCCUUUUAAAUUGUAUUUUUAAUAUGGCCA
rnacentral:lncRNA from 1 species